AAUAUUGAUUCAAAAAACUGUUUUUAAAUUUUAAUAUUAAGAAAAUAUUUUUUUAAUAUCAUAUAGCUUUUGAUACUUUGUACGAAUAAUAUGUUUGUUAACUUUCUUAGUUCACUGUGUGUAAUUCUUUUAGACAUCACGUCGCGUUUUUGUUUAAAUUGUUCGGCCCGGUGAGGUGAAUACGUCGUCUUAAAAUUUUCCAUAACAUUCAUUGCUCUUUAUUUUGGUUUAUUUCGAAUGCAGAACUCGUUCACAUCGGUCAUCGGCAACAACGUUUUCAAAUAAAACAAAGUACAGUAUAACGUAUAAAGUAAGUUCGAAAUUAAAACAAAGCAAGAAAAGGAAAGAGCAUCAUAAUCGUCAAUAUGGUUUUAACAAAUUUUGAAUUUUGGGCUGCUGACGGCUCUUCAUCACUGCCUUCGUCGGCUACUUCAUUGGAGUUCGAAGCUAGCGCACAUCAUCAUAAUCGUCACAUGAAUCCAUUUGACCCACGUGUUGUUCCCCAUGUGCCCUCUAGAAAUUUGACUCAUCUCUCCUCGAAUGGAUACUAUGGAUUUUCCUAUAUAAAUGCUGCUCAUGACAUGGAAUUGAAUAAUAAUAACAACAACAUAGAUAUUACAAACAACAAUACAUCAGCAACACACAAUUUAAUGGGAAAUGAUGUCAAUGAUACGACAACGCCAGCAGCAUUACAUCAACAGCCUGCUUCACGUUGUAAAAAACGUUUUUUCGUUGUCAGUGGAAAUGAUGCUGACGCCAAUGCUGCUGCCGCUGCGUACUGUGCUGCUGCAGCGGCCAAACGCUGUCGUUACGAUGAUGACAUUGCAGAGUACUGUAAUGAUUUUUUUUCUUUGCCUUCAACACAAAUUGGCACACAAGCGUGCUUAAUGGAUACUGAGGAAGGUGGUAUAAGCAAACAAGAGCCACAUCAUCAAACGCAGCAACAGCAACAGCUACCACAACAGGUCGAUGAGGCAAUGUUUGAAAACAACAACCACAACUACAAUAACAAUAAUAUUGAGAAAUACGAACAAGGCAUUUUACACCUGCAAUUACAACAGCAGAAACAGCACGAACAAUCUACAAUGCAAACACAACAACCACCCACACAACAGCACCAGCAGCAGCCGCAGCAACAUCAUCAUCAGCAACACCACUAUCAAGAUUGUUUAAAAAGCUAAGUUUGGGACAAAGCUUUAACAAAACUGUGCUUAUGGUAAACUCUCCUUAUCAUUGAGGCAUAGAGGUGCAACUGCUGACCAGAUAUCUUCGAAAUAAUGAAAACACGACCAAGGAUCUCUUUACAGUACAGAAAAACUUUUGGGUUUCAAAUGAAUACAUUUUUUCGCUAAGAACCUAGAGAAUAGGCCAUUCUGAGUAUGUCACCACUUUGAAGUUGUUUACACUGAACGCAUACGAGGAUGUUUAUGGGCAAGCUAUAUAGAUUUAUAUAAUUCGUUUUUGAUUAAAUCAAUCAAAUAUAUUAUAGAUGAGCUUUUCUGGACUGGAUAAGGAAAAUAUGGAUGAGCUGCAGGCCUUAUGGUAUAAUAUUACAGGACAGUGUAGCGCUGGACGCACCAGCAAACCCAAGGACACCCACAGUUCUGACAAACGUACCUCAGUAACAUCGACGACGUAAUCAACUCACUCCCACAAUAAAUCGUCAUCGUCUUCCCAUUGUCAUCAACAGAAACUGCCUAGGCAUUUUAGUGGACAUCAUACAUAGCGUACGCAUACCUACGUUGAUACAGGUGGUGGCCGUAAGUGCUACGCUUGUACGAAGUAUCGACACACUAACAAUUUGCGCCCUAAUAAGAAGUUGAAGUACAUUAUAAGUUGAAGACUAUUAUGAUACAAGAAAUACAAAGUUAUUAAAAUAUGUUUGGUUAAA